rnacentral:rRNA from 1 species
UACGUAGGGGGCAAGCGUUGUCCGGAUUUAUUGGGCGUAAAGAGCGUGUAGGCGGCUUGGUAGGUCCGCUGUGAAAACUCGAGGCUCAACCUCGAGAUGUCGGCGGAAACCACUUGGCUAGAGUCCGGAAGAGGAGAGUGGAAUUCCCGGUGUAGCGGUGAAAUGCGCAGAUAUCGGGAAGAACACCUAUGGCGAAGGCAGCUCUCUGGGACGGUAC